CCUACGGGUGGCAGCAGUGGGGAAUAUUGCUCAAUGGGGGAAACCCUGAAGCAGCAACGCCGCGUGGUGGAUGAAGGUCUUCGGAUUGUAAACUCCUUUUGUCAGAGACGAUAAUUACCGUAUCUAACGAAUUAGCAUCGGCUAACCACGUGCCAGCCGCCGCGGUAAUACGGAGGGGGCAAGCGUUAAUCGGAAUCACUGGGCGUAAAGAGCGCGUAGGCGGGCUAGCAAGUCAGAUGUGAAAUCCUAUGGCUUAACCACAGAACUGCAUUUGAAACUGUUGGUCUUGAGUGUGGGAGAGGUAGGUGGAAUUCUUGGUGUAGGGGUGAAAUGCGUAGAGAUCAGGAGGAAUACUCAUUGCGAAGGCGGCCUGCUGGAACAUAACUGACGCUGAUGCGCGAAAGCGUGGGGAGCAAACAGGAUUAGAUACCCUGGUAGUC
rnacentral:rRNA from 1 species